UGAGGAAUAUUGGACAAUGGGUGAGAGCCUGAUCCAGCCAUCCCGCGUGAAGGAUGACGGUCCUAUGGAUUGUAAACUUCUUUUGUACAGGGAUAAACCUACUCUCGUGAGGGUAGCUGAAGGUACUGUACGAAUAAGCACCGGCUAACUCCGUGCCAGCAGCCGCGGUAAUACGGAGGGUGCAAGCGUUAUCCGGAUUUAUUGGGUUUAAAGGGUCCGUAGGCGGACUUGUAAGUCAGUGGUGAAAUCUCAUGGCUUAACUAUGAAACUGCCAUUGAUACUGCAGGUCUUGAGUAAAUUUGAAGUGGCUGGAAUAAGUAGUGUAGCGGUGAAAUGCAUAGAUAUUACUUAGAACACCAAUUGCGAAGGCAGGUCACUAAGAUUUAACUGACGCUGAUGGACGAAAGCGUGGGGAGCGAACA
rnacentral:rRNA from 1 species